GUUUGAAUUUCGCCUUUUCCCGGUUACCUUCCUCUUAGGGCGCUCUGUCCCGCUCCAACCUGACUUACUGCCUCCUCCGCUUGCUUUAUCGUUGCUAUUCAGGCUUUCUUUCAGCCCUAUCCUCAAUGAAUGCACUUCUCCUACCUCCUUUCUAAUUUUAGUCCCCAGUUUUGCCUUUGUUACCAUUCUCCAAUAUCUAGGAAUGUUACUUGCAUAAAAUAAUGGCUUUAUUUUACACAACUUGGAAUUGCUAGUUUUGUAAUCCAGGGGAUGUUUCUUCAGGAGAAAAUGAGAGAAUGGAGGAGGUAAGAAAGUGGUUUUUUAUUUUUUUAAUUUUUAUCGUGGGUACUUUAAGAUGUGUUCAUAACUGUUUUUUUAAACUUGUUUCCUGACGGGGGUCUACUGUUGUAAACGACAGAGGGAUGAAAGAGAGGAAGAGAAGGAAGAGGCUGGCAAGAUAAGGAUGCGAAAAGAAAAGGUAGAGUUUACAUCAUGAAGUGAUGGAUUACGGUUGUUGAAACAAGAGAACAGAAGGAGCCUGGAUUCCAGAAAAGCCAUCAUCUUAGUCCUGGAGGCAAACUGGUUUUUCACCUUAAAGAGGUUGUUUUGAAGUGGUGACGUCCCUGGGAACUGGCAACAUCAACCACACCACUGGAAGCCCAAGUGUAUCAAAGAAGGAUGAUGAAAACCCAUAUAACCUUUACACUAACAGGAUGAUCAGGCUUGACCACGCUACCUGGACAACCAUGUUGCCACAGCAGACUUAAUUUGUUUCCUGGUUAAUAAUCUACCACAUACCUCGAGCAAGACUGGAAAAUCUGGUCAUCUGGUUGCCAAAUGCACUAAAGAAAAUUGAGAUGAAAACACUGGAGUUUGGUUAAUACUUGAAUAAUUAGAGUUUCAUUAUUUUACAAAGCUUUUUCAGAUAGGGAUGAAGCAUGUAUGUGUUUUCUGACGCUCUCUUUCCAAAAAUUUAUUACAAUCCAACUUGUUUCAAUUUAAAGCACUAGAAUACCACUCAAGAUGCCAUCUCUUGGAACCCCCAGACACACAGCAGGAGUGAAGUGAUCAUAAACAUAACCUUUUAAUAUUAUAGAUUCUAUCGGGGGCUAAUCUCAAAGACUGAAGAGUAACCUGAGUGAACUUUGGUUCAUUGGUUUGAUAUCUAACCGUUUGUACUCUUGUCAAAGACCUGAAAUAAAUCAGAGAUUUCCUGUUUGAACUGAGGGCCGUGGUCAGGAUGGACACAUGUUGGUUAUACUCUGGGCGUGAU